rnacentral:tRNA from 2 species
CCCCGAAUAGUUCAACGGAUGAGAACAAGCCCGUCCUAAGGGUUAGAUCCAGGUUCGAUUCCUGGUUCGGGGA